CACGUAGGGCGCAAGCGUUGUCCGGAAUUAUUGGGCGUAAAGAGCUCGUAGGUGGUUUGUUACGUCUGCUGUGAAAAUCUAGGGCUUAACCCUGGGCUUGCAGUGGAUACGGGCAGACUAGAGGUAGGUAGGGGAGAAUGGAAUUCCUGGUGUAGCGGUGAAAUGCGCAGAUAUCAGGAGGAACACCGGUGGCGAAGGCGGUUCUCUGGGCCUUACCUGACACUGAGGAGCGAAAGCGUGGGGAGCAAACAGG
rnacentral:rRNA from 1 species